AAUCUGAGUUUAAACUCGGUUCAUCCUAUCUCGAAACUAUAUAUGAAAAAAAUUGAACUGAGUUUGAACCGCGUCGGAGAAAACGGCCAUUAUUCAUUGAAUGGAGAAAAAACGAGGGAAAUUGAUCUCUGUCAACGUCGUCAACUCGGCCGAACAAUUUUCGAUUUCUGAUUGGUAAAACGGGCAUGACUUGACAAAAAUGUAUUCGUAAUAUCCUGCGAAUCAAAAAUCCUCAAAAUUAUUAUAAAAGAUAAAACGAUCAACAAAAAACCAGUACAAUAUAUGCGAGUAGAAUGAAUUUCAACCAUAUUGGAUACAGGAGAAGGUAACUGUUUUGAACUCAAGGGAUCCAAGAAAACUGAUGUCUUUAUAAUGGAAACUUUUAGUGGGGAUGUUUUUGAAAAAUGAUCCUAAUCAAAGUACUUCAGAAUAAUAGGACCUCAUUGUCAGCUUAAUCGUUAUUCAUCCGGUGAGCCUAUUCCUGAAGGUAAUAUUCCCAAUCUUACAACUGCCAUGUGAGGGACAAUUAUUUGUAACGCUGGAUUAACCCCAGAAAUCAAGGAAAAAAUUCAGAAAAGAGUGAAAUACACGGGUGGCACAUUUAUGAAACAACUGAAGGCCUGUGCCACUCAUUUAAUAAGCGAUUCUGUCAUGUCACAAAGUACGAGGUAAUGGAAAAUAAUGACAACCUAUCGUAUUUGAUCAAUAACCUCAUGUCCAGUCCUCACAUACUCGCAGUACUCAAAGUCAAUAUCGGAAGACAGCCUAUAUUAUCUUUGAAUAAAGUAAAUUUUGAUGGUGGUGGGGGUAAUAUUGACAUGUAAUUUUCUUGAAUUAUCAUCUGUUGACAUAUUCUUCAGCACGCGUGCUAGGUGAAUAUCAAAAUUUGUUCGAUGAAAAAAUGAAUUCUGUAUGUUUUUACGUAUAUUUGUAUUUCGUUUAAAAGUCCAAUUUAUAUUUAUCAUCUAUCAAUAUUGUAAAAUUUGAGCUUCAUUCCAUUUUUUUUCGUUGAUGUUAUUUUUCUACAAAUGCGCAAAAUAUGAUAGCAUAAAUAUUAUAUAUUAAAAGAAAAAAGUCGACAAUCGAUUGUGAUAUAAAUAAAGGAAUGAUUUAAUGA
rnacentral:lncRNA from 1 species